ensembl:lncRNA
AGGGGUACAGGUACAGAGACAAUGUGGAGGCUAUAUACAGGGGGUACUGGUACAGAGUCAAUGUGGAGGCUAUAUACAGGGGGUACUGGUACAGAGACAAUGUGGAGGCUAUAUACAAGGGGUACCGGUACAGAGUCAAUGUGGAGGCUAUAUACAGGGGGUACAGGUACAGAGACAAUGUGGAGGCUAUAUACAGGGGGUACAGGUACAGAGACAAUGUGGAGGCUAUAUACAGGGGGUACAGAGACAAUGUGGAGGCUAUAUACAGGGGGUACAGAGACAAUGUGGAGGCUAUAUACAGGGGGUACAGGUACAGAGACAAUGUGGAGGCUAUAUACAGGGGGUACCGGUACAGAGUCAAUGUGGAGGCUAUAUACAGGGGUACAGGUACAGAGUCAAUGUGGAGGCUAUAUACAGGGGGUACAGGUACAGAGACAAUGUGGAGACUAUAUACAGGGGGUACAGGUACAGAGACAAUGUGGAGGCUAUAUACAGGGGUACAGGUACAGAGUCAAUGUGGAGGCUAUAUACAG